rnacentral:lncRNA from 1 species
AGGCUGACACCCCUCUCUGCCCCCCAGGACCUGCUGUGCCCUUCAGAGGGGCUGGGGCUGUGGGGUGAGUGCCCAGAGGAGGCUGUGGGGUGCAGCCCCCUUCAGCAGGCACUGCUGUGGGGCCAUCCCAGCGUGGGCUGCUCUGCUGGGUGGUCUGGGGAGAGGGCAGGGGAGGUGGGGAGAGCUGGGGAGGGUCUGGGCUGGGCUAGAAAGGGCCCGGGAAAGGAAAAAUGCCAGCAGGCAGCUACUAUGUGUGAACGGCAGUGUGGGAGCACAUGGCCGUGUGCUUGCAGGCAAAUGGAGGUCUCCUGGGAAAGGCACCAGGACAUGGAGGGUGCAGGAGAGAAGAGCCCAGGUUGUUCCCUGUGUUGCAUGGACACACUGGGGAAGCUGCCGCAGCGCCAUCGUCCCACACCAGCCCCUCACAUCAUCCCUUUCCAGCACUGGCUGCUCACCCCAGCUGUGGGGUGCUCCGUGGCCAGCUCCGUCCUCCUGCAGGUCUCCAUAUCCAGACACAGGAGAAAAGGCCAGCCUUGCACGGUCUCUCUUCUGCACCACACCCCAGCACAUCCCACAGCACGGCUGUCUGCUAACACCCCCCAUAACUGGGAGGCCUCAGGCAGAGCUUYCCCUGGAAAGCUGAGGCAAAAAAGACACUUAAUGCCCCAGCCCUUUUCAUGUCCAAGGUCUCUGGUGCCAGCUCCAGCUGAGCUCUGCCUUUCUUCACUCCAUCCUUGUAUGCACAAACAAGGUCUUGAUGCCCCCCCGGGCAGCCCAUCCCCCUUCCACCCUUGUGCACUUCCACCCCAGCACCCUGAGUGCUGGUGCUGCUGCCAGGGCAGAGGUGAAGGAUCACCUGGAGGCGUUCCUCAGGGAGGUCCACAGGGAAAAGCUGUGCCCAGACCCAGCCUCAGACCCAGACCCAGCGUGGCAGAGGGGAGCUGCCCUCUCCCAGCAACCCUGGUGGUGUCAGCCCCACCUCAGCCCACUCCUGAAAGGUUCCAGCACAGCUCUCAAGGGAGCUGGAGCU